rnacentral:rRNA from 1 species
UAGUACGGCGAGUGAAGCGGGAAGAGCUCAAAUUUGAAAGCUGGCGCUUUCGGUGUCCGCGUUGUAAUCUCGAGAAGUGUUUUCCGUGCUGGACCAUGUACAAGUUCCUUGGAAUAGGACGUCAUAGAGGGUGAAAAUCCCGUACUUGAUGUGGCCGCCCAGUGCUUUGUGAUACACUUUCCAUGAGUCGAGUUGUUUGGGAAUGCAGCUCAAAAUGGGUGGUAAAUUCCAUCUAAAGCUAUACAUUGGGGAGAGACCGAUAGCGAACAAGUACCGUGAGGGAAAGAUGAAAAGCACUUUGGAAAGAGAGUUAAAUAGUACGUGAAAUUGUCGAAAGGGAAGCGCUUGAAGUUAGACAUGCUAGUUGGAAUUCAGCCUUGCUUUUGCUUGGUGCAUUUUCCGGUUAGCAGGCCAGCAUCAGUUUUGCCUGUCGGAUAAGGGUAGGAGGAAUGUGGCCCCUCGGGGUGUUAUAGCCUCUUACUGGAUACGACGGGUGGGACUGAGGACAGCAGUGCGCCUUUAUUGGCGGGCCUUCGGGCACCUUCGCACUUAGGAUGCUGGCGUAAUGGCUUUAAGCGACCCGUCUU